GUGGGGAAUUUUGGACAAUGGGCGCAAGCCUGAUCCAGCCAUGCCGCGUGCAGGAUGAAGGCCUUCGGGUUGUAAACUGCUUUUGUACGGAACGAAAAGACUCCUUCUAAUAAAGGGGGUCCAUGACGGUACCGUAAGAAUAAGCACCGGCUAACUACGUGCCAGCAGCCGCGGUAAUACGUAGGGUGCAAGCGUUAAUCGGAAUUACUGGGCGUAAAGCGUGCGCAGGCGGUUAUAUAAGACAGAGGUGAAAUCCCCGGGCUCAACCUGGGAACUGCAGUUGUGACUGUAUAGCUAGAGUACGGUAGAGGGGGAUGGAAUUCCGCGUGUAGCAGUGAAAUGCGUAGAUAUGCGGAGGAACACCGAUGGCGAAGGCAAUCCCCUGGACCUGUACUGACGCUCAUGCACGAAAGCGUGGGGAGCAAACAGGAUUAGAAACCCUUGUAGUCC
rnacentral:rRNA from 1 species